AUGCUCCUUUGGAGAGGCAGCCUCAAGUCCAGAGCGGUGACUACCCCCAGCAUCACGCAGGACACUGGUGUCCAGAGCAAACAUCACGCGCUGUCUCUACGGGGAGAGCCGGCAGCUGUGCAGAAGAGCCACCGCCUGUGGAUCACMCCACACCGCUUGGAUCUCCACCAGCAACGCAGGUGUUGUCCAAAAGCCCCGGAGAMGCAGGAUGUGCACGAGGUCUGUGACUCAGCCGGGAUGUUUCCCUGGCACAUCCCUCCUACCCCGGAGCACAGGUGCUGCAGCUACCGGUGGAGUAGGACAUUCCCUCCUUGCUCAGCCUUUGCCCCCCUGCAGCAGUGCGUGACGAUGAAACGUGCUGCUUCUCAAGUUGGCCGUGACUUUGAAGAUAGGGGCUGUCUUUUACUUUUAUAUUUGCAGAGGGCCCGGCCAUACAGGACUCAGAGCCUGGCURCGGGAAGUUUGGGCUCUUUAGUAGCAAUAAUAAAUAAUGAAAAAUGUAGUUCAUGUUUUGCUCUUCCAUUUGUGCCUUUUCAUCUUAACAUCUCAAGAGCCUGUUUGAAACCUUCAAUUAAACUUCCUGUUUGUUAUUCAAGAUUUGUGAGGGAGGAAACUGAGGCACAGGUGAGAAUUAUCUGA
rnacentral:lncRNA from 1 species